GUAGUACAGUACCUUUAGAUAUGACCUAUAUAUCACAACAUCCCAGUGUAACCUUGUCCCUGUCUGGAUACAGUAGUACAGUACCUUUAGAUAUGACCUAUAUAUCACAACAUCCCAGUGUGACCUUGUCCCUGUCUGGAUACAGUAGUACAGUACCUUUAGAUAUGACCUAUAUAUCACAACAUCCCAGUGUAACCUUGUCCCUGUCUGGAUACAGUAGUACAGUACCUUUAGAUAUGACCUAUAUACCACAACAUCCCAGUGUAACCUUGUCCCUGCCUGGAUACAGUAGUACAGUACCUUUAGAUAUGACCUAUAUAUCCGUCUGCUUCCCAAAUAACACCUUAUUCCCUUUAUAGUGCACAACUUUACAUCAGAGACCUAUGAGCCAAUUGGGAAGCGGCCUGUGUGUUCUGUCUCACCUGAGGUGUGUGUUUGUUCUGUCUCACCUGAGGUGUGUGUGUGUGUUCUGUCUCACCUGAGGUGUGUGUGUGUGUUCUGUCUCACCUGAGGUGUGUGUGUGUGUUCUGUCUCACCUGAGGUGUGUGUGUGUUCUGUCUCACCUGAGGUGUGUGUUUGUUCUGUCUCACCUGAGGUGUGUGUGUGUGUUCUGUCUCUCCUGAGGUGUGUGUGUUCUGUCUCACCUGAGGUGUGUGUGUGUGUUCUGUCUCACCUGAGGGGUGUGUGUGUGUGUUCUGUCUCACCUGAGGGGUGUGUGUGUGUUCUGUCUCUCCUGAGGUGUGUGUGUGUGUUCUGUCUCACCUGGGGGGUGUGUGUUCUGUCUCACCUGAGGGGUGUGUGUGUGUUCUGUCUCACCUGAGGGGUGUGUGUGUGUUCUGUCUCACCUGAGGUGUUUAUUCUCUCACCUGAGGGGGGGGGGUGGUGUUCUGUCCUUUCUGUCACACCUACCUGUCUGCCACGAUCCAUUGUAGACACCUGAACAUUCGUCUCUAUGCCGGGUGUCUUUCAGAAGUCCUCUGGCUACCUUUACACAGGCAGCCCAGUUCUGAUCUUUUGCCACCUAAUUGAUAUUUUGCCAAUUAUUGGGUAAAAGAUAAGAACUGGACUGCCAGCGUAAAAGGACAUAACGUAAUGCCCUACCGCAGUAUGACGUGGAGAAAAGUCUACACAUCAUUGCCUUGCCAUUCCACCAAAAUACAUGGAAUGCCCAUCGGAGGGACUACGGUCUGGGAUGGUUAUAGAAGGUCUGGGAUGGUUAUAGAAGGUCUACAGGGAUCUAUAUGUGAUCCGAUAGGGUCUAAGUGGAUAUAAGGUCUGGGAUGGUUAUAGAAGGUCUACAGGGAUCUAUAUGUGAUCCGAUAGGGUCUCAGUGGAUAUAAGGUCUGGGAUGGUUAUAGAAGGUCUACAGGGAUCUAUAUGUGAUCCGAUAGGGUCUAAGUGGAUAUAAGGUCUACAGGGAUCUAUAUGUGAUCCGAUAGGGUCUAAGUGGAUAUAAGGUCUACAGGGAUCUAUAUGUGAUCCGAUAGGGUCUAAGUGGAUAUAAGGUCUGGGAUGGUUAUAGAAGGUCUACAGGGAUCUAUCUAUAUGUGAUCCGAUAGGGUCUCAGUAGAUAUAAGGUCUGGGAUGGUUAUAGAAGAUCUACAGGAAUCUAUAUGUGAUCCGAUAGGGUCUCAGUGGAUAUAAGGUCUGGGAUGGUUAUAGAAGAUCUACAGGAAUCUAUAUGUGAUCCGAUAGGGUCUCAGUGGAUAUAAGGUCUGGGAUGGUUAUAGAAGAUCUACAGGAAUCUAUAUGUGAUCCGAUAGGGUCUCAGUAGAUAUAAGGUCUGGGAUGGUUAUAGAAGAUCUACAGGAAUCUAUAUGUGAUCCGAUAGGGUCUCAGUAGAUAUAAGGUCUGGGAUGGUUAUAGAAGAUCUACAGGAAUCUAUAUGUGAUCCGAUAGGGUCUCAGUGGAUAUAAGGUCUGCAUGACACUAUACACUUGGGACACUUAUUAACAUGUUUCCAUAUAAUCAUAUUGGUGUGUGUUAUUGUGUAAGUGUGUGUGGUGUGUGUGUCUUAGUGUGUAAGAGGUGCCCCGGUUUAGGCUAUACUGCUGUGCUAGCCAAGGGAUUUUUAGGUUGUAUAAGCAAUAUUAAAUAUGGACUGUUGUUUUUUUUGGUGUGUAUUUUUGGAAGUGGCAGGGAGGAGGGAACGGAGAGGCGUAUUGCUUCUUAUUUCUCCCAUAUAUACACAUAUUGAUGAUGUAACAGCAGUAAAUUAUUUAUCCUAAAGCGAUUGACUACUGUGUUUUUUUGGGGGGGGAAGAAAGGAGAGAGGGGGUGUGAUGUAUGAGAGACAAAGAUAUCAUUAGUUUUUAUGUGAUUCCUUUUUUUAACAUUUUUAAUUCAGUUUAAUUUCAGAUAGUUUUCGGACCUGUUUUGCUCAUUUUUAUUAACACUGAACAAAAAUAUAAAUGCAAAAUGUAAAAGUG
ensembl:lncRNA